UAGCUCAGUUGGUAGAGUGCCUGCCUUGCAUGCACAAAGCCCUGGGUUCAAACCCCAG
rnacentral:tRNA from 1 species